GCCUUCGUGGUGUAAUGGUCAGCACACUGAGCCGGUAUUUCAGAGGUCCGUGGUUCGAUCCCCCGACGAAGGCA
rnacentral:tRNA from 1 species